rnacentral:rRNA from 1 species
CAGCCGCCGCGGUAAUACGUAGGUGGCAAGCGUCGUCCGGAAUUAUUGGGCGUAAAGCGCGCGCAGGUGGUUUAAUAAGUCUGAUGUGAAAGCCCACGGCUCAACCGUGGAGGGUCAUUGGAAACUGUUAAACUUGAGUGCAGGAGAGAAAAGUGGAAUUCCUAGUGUAGCGGUGAAAUGCGUAGAGAUUAGGAGGAACACCAGUGGCGAAGGCGGCUUUUUGGCCUGUAACUGACACUGAGGCGCGAAAGCGUGGGGAGCAAACAGGAUUAGAUACCCCUGUAGCCCUGUCUCUUAUACA